rnacentral:lncRNA from 1 species
UGGAAUAGCUGCUUUGGUUGCAGAAGGUGUGUUGGGUUGGGGUAUUCAUUCGUCUCAGUUGUUUGUCGUGUAUUUGUCCUUCGGGUAGUGGUUUAUCUUCAGAGGUGCGUGCGGUGUCUGUAAGAUGCAUUACCAAGACGAAGAGGAGCCAACGCACUCACAGAUGGUGAAGCCAAGAAGGGAAUCGGGAAAACUGAGAUUCAGACAUGAAAAGAGA